rnacentral:rRNA from 1 species
GGAUGAGCGCUAGCUACAGGCUUAACACAUGCAAGUCGAGGGGAGACGAUAGAGAAGCUCGCUUUUUCUAGGCGUCGACCGGCGCACGGGUGAGUAACGCGUAUCCAACCUGCCCAUCACUUGGGGAUAACCUUGCGAAAGUAAGACUAAUACCCAAUGAUAUCUCUAGAAGACAUCUGAAAGAGAUUAAAGAUUUAUCGGUGAUGGAUGGGGAUGCGUCUGACUAGCUUGUUGGCGGGGUAACGGCCCACCAAGGCGACGAUCAGUAGGGGUUCUGAGAGGAAGGUCCCCCACAUUGGAACUGAGACACGGUCCAAACUCCUACGGGAGGCAGCAGUGAGGAAUAUUGGUCAAUGGACGAGAGUCUGAACCAGCCAAGUAGCGUGCAGGAUGACGGCCCUAUGGGUUGUAAACUGCUUUUAUAAGGGAAUAAAGUGGGAGUCGUGACUCCUUUUGCAUGUACCUUAUGAAUAAGGACCGGCUAAUUCCGUGCCAGCAGCCGCGGUAAUACGGAAGGUCCGGGCGUUAUCCGGAUUUAUUGGGUUUAAAGGGAGCGUAGGCCGGAGAUUAAGCGUGUUGUGAAAUGUAGACGCUCAACGUCUGCACUGCAGCGCGAACUGGUUUCCUUGAGUACGCACAAAGUGGGCGGAAUUCGUGGUGUAGCGGUGAAAUGCUUAGAUAUCACGAAGAACUCCGAUUGCGAAGGCAGCUCACUGGAGCGCAACUGACGCUGAAGCUCGAAAGUGCGGGUAUCGAACAGGAUUAGAUACCCUGGUAGUCCGCACGGUAAACGAUGGAUGCCCGCUGUUGGUCUGAAUAGGUCAGCGGCC